UACGUAGGGUCCGAGCGUUGUCCGGAAUUAUUGGGCGUAAAGGGCUCGUAGGCGGUUUGUCGCGUCGGGAGUGAAAACUCAGGGCUCAACCCCUGAGCGUGCUUCCGAUACGGGCAGACUAGAGGUAUGCAGGGGAGAACGGAAUUCCUGGUGUAGCGGUGGAAUGCGCAGAUAUCAGGAGGAACACCGGUGGCGAAGGCGGUUCUCUGGGCAUGACCUGACGCUGAGGAGCGAAAGCAUGGGGAGCGAACAGG
rnacentral:rRNA from 1 species